AUUGAACGCUGGCAGCAUGCCUUACACAUGCAAGUCGAACGGCAGCACGGGAGCAAUCCUGGUGGCGAGUGGCGAACGGGUGAGUAAUAUAUCGGAACGUGCCCAGUCGUGGGGGAUAACGCAGCGAAAGCUGUGCUAAUACCGCAUACGAUCUACGGAUGAAAGCGGGGGAUCGCAAGACCUCGCGCGAUUGGAGCGGCCGAUAUCAGAUUAGCUAGUUGGUGAGGUAAAGGCUCACCAAGGCGACGAUCUGUAGCUGGUCUGAGAGGACGACCAGCCACACUGGAACUGAGACACGGUCCAGACUCCUACGGGAGGCAGCAGUGGGGAAUUUUGGACAAUGGGCGCAAGCCUGAUCCAGCAAUGCCGCGUGCAGGAUGAAGGCCUUCGGGUUGUAAACUGCUUUUGUACGGAACGAAACGGUGAGCUCUAAUACAGUUUGCUAAUGACGGUACCGUAAGAAUAAGCACCGGCUAACUACGUGCCAGCCGCCGCAGUAACAC
rnacentral:rRNA from 1 species